GAAGCUGGAUUCGCUAGUAAUCGCGCAUCAGCCACGGCGCGGUGAAUACGUUCCCGGGCCUUGUACACACCGCCCGUCAAGCCAUGGAAGCCGGGGGUGCCUGAAGUGCGCUGCCGCAAGGAGCGCCCUAGGGUAAAAACCGGUGACUGGGGCUAAGUCGUAACAAGGUACC
rnacentral:rRNA from 1 species